rnacentral:lncRNA from 1 species
GUGAACCUCCAGCCCUCCUUUCUCCUCUGGUAGUGGACUACCUUCUGACAGGACGCGUCUUUCAGUUGAAUGUCACUCCAGAUGAUGUAGCUGACAUGGAACUUAGAGAAGCCCUGAAGAAGGUUGAUCAAGCAUUAACCACCGAUGAGCUGGAGCAAGCAGUGGAAUGCUGUGACUCAUGGAGAUACCAAAUCGAAGGUCUUCCGAACCCAGUCAGCAUGGACAACAAAGAUGCAUUUGUGCAGAAUGCAAUACUUUUCCAUGUCCUCAUUCAACGACAGAGCUGCUAUGAUCAGUUAGUUGAGGGUUUGAAGUACUAUGAGGUUCUGCCACUCCUGAAAGAAAGGCCUUGCCUUAGGGUCCUUCUUGAUAUGCCCAAAGAACCCAGUGAUGUCACAGCACAUGUUGUGGUUACCCUCCUGAAACCUAACUACUCUGUUCUGGGAAGUAACAGAAGACCAAGAGAGGAGUUAAU